AAUGGCCCGUUCUGCAGACAGGGGCUCAGUGAUCUGUAUCAGACCCGAGUGCAGCGAUCAAGAUGAUGUCACACAGCUGUUUGCUGAUCAUAUUAACCAUCUGGGUUCAUGGAUCCUGUGGACAGAUUGUGAUGUCUCAGACUCCAGACUCUGUCUCUGUGUCACCAGGAGAACGCGUCACCAUGACAUGUAAAGCCAGUUCUGGUAUUAGCAACUACCUAAACUGGUACCAACAGAAACCAGGACAACCCCCAAAGCUCCUGAUCUAUUAUGCCAGCAGCAGACACACCGGGACCCCAGAGCGGUUCAGCGGCAGCGGGUCGGGAACUGAUUUCACUUUAACCAUCAGCGGAGCGCAAGCAGAAGAUGCAGCAGAUUAUUACUGUCAGCAGCGUCAGAGCUGGCCUCUCACAGUGAUACAGAGCCAAUGCCAAGGAGAGAUUGUGGUAACUCAGACUCCAGAAUCUGCGCAUGUAUUUCCAGGGGACCCGGGUACCAUCAGCUGUAAGACCAGUAGCAGUGUAUAUCACAGCGGCUAUAGUGUUAUAGUACGGCACUGGCACCAACAGGAACCAGGACAACGCCCAAAGCCCCUUUAUGAUGGUCUAUGA